rnacentral:rRNA from 1 species
UACGUAGGGGGCAAGCGUUUGUCCGGAAUCAUUGGGCGUAAAGCGCGUGUAGGCGGCUCGGUAAGUCUGCUGUGAAAGUCCAGGGCUCAACCCUGGGAUGCCGGUGGAUACUGUCGAGCUCGAGUCCGGAAGAGGCGAGUGGAAUUCCUGGUGUAGCGGUGAAAUGCGCAGAUAUCAGGAGGAACACCAAUGGCGAAGGCAGCUCGCUGGGACGUGACUGACGCUGAGACGCGAAAGCGUGGGGAGCAAACAGG